AUCUCAGCGAUUUACCAGCAUGGGCAGCUGGAGCUGAUUAGAUAAAAUGCUGUUAACGGACUGAGUUAAUACUCAGGCAGGCGCGGCUCGAGAGAAUGUGUGUUUGGAGAGGGUCAUAAGCCUUCCUGUACUCACUGAUGGAGUCUGGCUCUGUCACUCAGAAUGGAGUGCAGUAGCAGGAUCUCGUUUCCCUGCAACCUCCACCUCCCAGGUUCAAGCGAUUCUCCUGCCUCAGCCUUUUGAGUAACCGGGACUACAGAUAUUGAAAGAUCAUCACAGAAAUGUGAUUACUGUUGUGGACAAACAUCUCAGCACCUAAUAAGGUCUCCUGAAAAAAAUGCAUUUGCAACAAAAAUGAUUGCAUGCCCUUCAUCUGAAUGCAUGAUGAACUUGAAAAAGAUACAAAAGUCAUUAGGUGCUGGUGACCAUCAUGCGAUCCAAAGUCACUUAGAGAGAAACCUGAAAAGGAAAGCCAUGUUCAACAAACACAGGCCCAGGGCGUCUAACGUCAGACAAAGAAGUAUUACUUCCAGGGUGGGUUCAGAAAUCACCUGUUCAGACAAACGUCGUGCUGCCAGACACAUACACCACUGGACUUACUCCUUUGAGCCUUUUGAAAAUCUGCCAGAGUGACAACCCUGGAAUGCAUCAAUAGAGGUGGCCACAGGAAGAAAGCAGCUCAGAUCCCUGAGCAAACUUGAAAGAGACUGCCCCAGUGAGCUACCUGACCUGCAGUGGACUUUGAGUGAGCAAUAAAUCAGCUUUUAUGUGUCA
rnacentral:lncRNA from 13 species